rnacentral:rRNA from 1 species
ACAGAGGUGGCAAGCGUUGUUCGGAAUUACUGGGCGUAAAGGGCAGGUAGGCGGUCUGAUAAGUCUGUUGUGGAAGCUCCCGGCUUAACUGGGAGAGGUCAACGGAAACUAUCAGGCUUGAGUGUAGGAGAGGGUACUGGAAUUCCCGGUGUAGCGGUGAAAUGCGCAGAGAUCGGGAGGAACACCAACGGCGAAAGCAGGUACCUGGACUAUUACUGACGCUCAGCUGCGAAAGCUAGGGGAGCAAACAGGA